GACAGUGCUGUGGAAAAACCCAGAAUCUGGAAAAUUAAAGGUUGCCUUGUUAUUUCCUUUACAUGCUACUCUUUCUUUAUCACCUGAAGAAUAAAGUGCAUGCUAUCACCCCGCUUCAGUUUCUUCCAGAUAUUCUGCAACUUGAAGAAAGCUCAACUACUAGCUGAACUAUAGCCCUGAUGCAGAUGUUCUAGAAAACUCAUGAUAGUAUUGUACUGUUCGCUUAAAGAAUUGUAUAAUAGAAUGAUCUCCAAUAUUUAGUUUACAAGGAUGUCCAGAAAUCAUUUUCCAAGUUUUCUUAGCAUGACAGCUUUAUCAAAACAAAUGAAGUUGUUUAAAAAAAACAAUGAACUUCCAUACAUAAUAUGCCAUUCAUGUUUGUUAUGCUUCUUAUUAUGCUGAUGACUUCAGGAAAUUUGUUGCUAAAAUGGUCUUUGGACUUUCAGCAAUGACAUGCAAACCAACAAAAAUUCUGUGUUUAAAUGCUGAAUAGUGUAAUUAAAUGAAAUUUUGAUCUUCUUCAUACAAACAGUGCUGUAUUUCUGAUUUGUCACGCUUAUUAUCAUAUUUAUUAUCAUUCAUUUGUAUAAUAAUAUUGAAAUGUAAAGAGGUAAAACAAACAAUAAUUUUGCAACAGAAAUUGAGAAAUAGCUGGAAUUCUGUUUUGAGUCUCUAAAUUUAGAGUUUUGAAUUUGUUUUGUAAAACAAAUGCGUUAAGGUUUAUGCUUGUUUGUCAUGUAAAAAUAUUGUUUUCAAUUUAGAUUUUUAAUAAAUUUUUCGGUAUUCAAUGCAAGGCUAAAAAAUUCAGGUAUACAUAAAAUUAUGAAAGAUAUAUUUAGGUUUGUUUAUUUCAGCAUUAAAUGAACAGUUCAUUGAUGCUUAUUCUCUUUGUGUAGUUAUCCAGAAAUCCCCCCCCCUCUCAAGAAGAGAUUUUUCUCCCCACUUAAACUACAGGGCAGGAUUUGAAUAACUGCAAAUAACUCCAAUUUUGGAAAGGAUAGGUAGCAACUGUUAUCUUAGUCCACUUCCGACUGUCAAUGCACCUUCUCUGUUUCUGACUAAAUUCUGGAAGCAUUUUUCGGCAUGUUGGAAUAUAGGUCAUAUUCAUCCAUCCAUGAUACAGGGUAAUGAAUGGAAUUGCAAUCUAUAUGAAAAAAUCUGAACAAAAAUUCAAUUUAUUUCAAUCAAGGGUUUUUUUUUUUUUUUUCACAAACAUUCACUUCACAAAUAGUAUAAAAGAAAAUAAAUUACAAGCAUCAGUAUAUUUUGCCCUGUCUAAUCGAAACUCCCUAAUUGAGUAGAUGGGAGUAAAGCCUAUAAAAAAUUUAUUUUCUUUAUUUUUCUAUGCUUAUAAACGACUGAAAUUUUUGAUUAAACUUGUGUUUCGUCCAUAGUUAUUAGUUUUAGUAAAUGAUACUUUGGAGUAAAGAAUUUUUAAAAAUUUGAUAAUAAUAACCACAUUUUGAACAUGUGAAUAUUUUAAAGUUACGUUGCAUUUCAGAAAACACAAAGAUUAAUCUUUGCUUAUUUUGUUACUUAAGCAGUUAUUGACAAUAAUAGUUUGCCCCAAAAUCUAUAAAAACUACAAAUUCUGUUUUGGUACCCUGAAUUUGAUUUUCAUUGCCUCAUUGAGAAAAAUGUCUCUGUUUUCUCUCUCUUUUUUUUUUUUUUUUUGUGUGUG